rnacentral:rRNA from 1 species
CGAGGCCGAUAGGCGUAGGCGAUGGACAACAGGUAGAGAUUCCUGUACCAGUGCUAAUUGUUUAACCGAUGGGGUGACACAGAAGGAUAGGGAAUCGCACGAAUGGAAAUGUGCGUCCAAGCAGUGAGUGUGAGAAGUAGGCAAAUCCGCUUCUCGCGAAGCAUGAGCUGUGAUGGGGAAGGAAAUUAAGUACGGAAGUUCCUGAUUUCACGCUGUCAAGAAAAGCCUCUAGGAAGAGUAGUACUGCCCGUACCGCAAACCGACACAGGUAGAUGAGGAGAGAAUCCUAAGGUGAGCGAGAGAACUCUCGUUAAGGAACUCGGCAAAAUGACCCCGUAACUUCGGGAGAAGGGGUGCUCUAUUAGGGUGCAAGCCCGAGAGAGCCGCAGUGAAUAGGCCCAGGCGACUGUUUAGCAAAAACACAGGUCUCUGCAAAACCGUAAGGUGACGUAUAGGGGCUGACGCCUGCCCGGUGCUGGAAGGUUAAGAGGAGUGCUUAGCUUCGGCGAAGGUACGAAUUGAAGCCCCAGUAAACGGCGGCCGUAACUAUAACGGUCCUAAGGUAGCGAAAUUCCUUGUCGGGUAAGUUCCGACCCGCACGAAAGGCGCAACGAUCUGGGCACUGUCUCAACGAGAGACUCGGUGAAAUUAUAGUACCUGUGAAGAUGCAGGUUACCCGCGACAGGACGGAAAGACCCCGUGGAGCUUUACUGCAACCUGAUAUGGAAUGUUUGUACCGCUUGUACAGGAUAGGUAGGAGCCGAAGAGACGUGUGCGCUAGCAUACGAGGAGGCAAUGGUGGGAUACUACCCUGGCUGUAUGACCAUUCUAACCCGCCACGCUUAGCGCGUGGGGAGACAGUGUCAGGUGGGCAGUUUGACUGGGGCGGUCGCCUCCUAAAGAGUAACGGAGGCGCCCAAAGGUUCCCUCAGAAUGGAUGGAAAUCAUUCGCAGAGUGUAAAGGCACAAGGGAGCUUGACUGCGAGACUGACAAGU